rnacentral:rRNA from 1 species
ACGGGUGAGUAACUCGUAUCCAACCUGCCGUCUACUCUUGGACAGCCUUCUGAAAGGAAGAUUAAUACAAGAUGGCAUCAUGAGUCCACAUGUUCACAUGAUUAAAGGUAUUCCGGUAGACGAUGGGGAUGCGUUCCAUUAGAUAGUAGGCGGGGUAACGGCCCACCUAGUCUUCGAUGGAUAGGGGUUCUGAGAGGAAGGUCCCCCACAUUGGAACUGAGACACGGUCCAA